CAGUCGCCGCGGUAAUACCGAGGGUGCAAGCGUUAAUCGGAAUUACUGGGCGUAAAGCGCGCGUAGGUGGUUUGUUAAGUUGGAUGUGAAAGCCCCGGGCUCAACCUGGGAACUGCAUCCAAAACUGGCAAGCUAGAGUACGGUAGAGGGUGGUGGAAUUUCCUGUGUAGCGGUGAAAUGCGUAGAUAUAGGAAGGAACACCAGUGGCGAAGGCGACCACCUGGACUGAUACUGACACUGAGGUGCGAAAGCGUGGGGAGCAAACAGGAUUAGAUACCCCAGUAGUCCCUGUCUCUUAUAC
rnacentral:rRNA from 1 species